rnacentral:rRNA from 1 species
CCUACGGGAGGCAGCAGUGGGGAAUAUUGCACAAUGGGGGAAACCCUGAUGCAGCGACGCCGCGUGAGCGAUGAAGUAUUUCGGUAUGUAAAGCUCUAUCAGCAGGGAAGAAAAUGACGGUACCUGACUAAGAAGCCCCGGCUAACUACGUGCCAGCAGCCGCGGUAAUACGUAGGGGGCAAGCGUUAUCCGGAAUUACUGGGUGUAAAGGGAGCGUAGACGGCAAUGCAAGUCCGGAGUGGAAUGCGGCAGCUCAACUGCCGAACUGCUCUGGAAACUGUAUGGCUUGAGUGCAGGAGGGGUAA